UAUGACCCAACCUUCCCUAGUACGAAAGGACCGGGAAAGUAGGGCCAAUACCCCAAGCACGCCCUCCCCCUAAGUGAUGCCCCCAACUAAAUCACCAAGGGGCCCUCCACUCACACCCUAGAAAAUGGCC
rnacentral:rRNA from 1 species